rnacentral:lncRNA from 1 species
UAAACAUGAAGGCUCUGAAAAAAAAAAACGUUGUGUCUUACCUUCAAUUUCAAGAUGAUAGAAUUAGGGGAGGAUUUAUCAGAUUCUGAAUUUCCCCAUUUUCUUGGAAGUUCUGUGGUAAAAUAAAACGCCAUGGAGUUUAAAUAUCUUGAAGAAAUGAAAGUCUCGGGUGCUUUUGCAGUUAGUUUGGUUGAAUGAUCAAAAUCUAGUAGAUAUCUGAUGUUACAAAUUUGAAGUGCUCCUCAUUUGUUCACAUACCUUUUGCCUUCUGAGGUCAGUGACAUGAUCUUAGAUGGCUGUCGGGGAUAAAGUUAGUUAUUUUCUUUCCUGUUGGAUAUCAUUCUACUCUUUACUGUUAUCCUUCUUGUCCGUGGAUCCCUUGUCCGUCAGUAGUUCAUAAAGUUUUUGAUGAUGAGAUUGCAUUGAAUGAGCAUGGAUCUGUAAUAGUUUCCCGAUUAUGAUGCUUUUGAGCAUCACUUUACGCAGGUGACUUGUCCACUAAAUGUUAGUCAUAACUGGAUUUUGUAACUUCAUGUUGUGAACAAUUUCUUUCAGUUCAUGGGUAUUCUGUGAUGGUGUAGUUGUGAGGUUGGUUACUGAGGCUGAACUAGCAAAACUUGGUUGCAGGCUCCAGUGGUUCUGUGCUGGUUAAUUCAAGGAUCCUUUUUCCUUUUCUUUAACGUGUUGGUAACCUCUCAAGGUGGUGGUGUGCUAGCUGCUGGAUGACGCGUCUUCCCUGGGUGACGACUAAAAGUUGGUUGCAUGUUCUUUGUAUCUAUCUGCUUUGUCCAAUCUUGUUUUGAAUUCAAUGAUUCUUCAUUUCAUCUUUUUUGAAGAUAUAAAAACCAAGUUCAAUUGUUUUCAAAAAAGAUGCUACUGGGACGCAGCACUGGAGAUUUAUGAUUCUUAAGGAUUUUGAAAAGGGCAGAUUGGCUUCUUUCGCUGAUAGCAUACUCUAUUUUAAAUAGUGUGAUUGACUUUGCAUCUCUUCUUUGAGCGAUUGAAUUUGCAGUUCUGCAAGGCUUCAUGGUGAUAUUCGUGAGUUGAAAUUUCUGCNUUCUGCAUUUACUAAUGGAUAAGAGUAUUCACAAUUCUGCUCGUCAGUUUUCCAUGUACAUAUCUUAUCUCUGAAGGGGUAUUAUGAGAUGAGGUCAACAGGCAGACUUAUGUUUCACUUGGUUAGAACAUCUAUUCCGAAUACUUCUACUGUUUAGGCUUAGUGUUCGUAGUGAAAGGCAGUUCUGAAGCUAAAGAAUUAUUUCACGUGGUUUGUUUAGGAUAAUAUUUUCACAUGAUGUUUAAUUUCUAAAUAAUUUAGGUAUUCGCAGAUGAUAUUUUGGCGGACAGUGACACCAUAUGGAGAAGGGGCACGAAAUUUUCAACUCAUGUUUUUGAUCUUCAGUGAUAGUAGCAUUUGUUGACCCCUUUAAGACGAUGGUAUUCUGUCAUGGUAACCUCCUCACACUCGACUUUUUUCACUAGAAGUAGAUUUUUAUCCUUGUUUAUUUCCUCUCCCUCAGAUUCUUCUCUUUUUAGGUUGAGUUCAGUUUUCAGUGUCUUGAUCCUGCGUAGAUUAAUUUCAAAAUGCACACAACCUUGACUCUGAUUGGCAAAUUAGUCUUGUUUAGUGUAUAGCGGUGUUGCAGGUUGUGGUGAUUUGGAACCCACUCCUUUGAUCUGUUUUGCUAAGAAUGGAGUUUUAGUCCUCUGGUAUUUCAGUGACUUUAUUCUGCAUAGAUUAAUUUCAAAAUGCACACAACCUUGAUUCUGAUUAGCAAAUUAACUCUUGUUUAGUGUAUAGUGGUGUUGCAGGUUGUGGUGAUUUGAAAUCCACUCCUUUGAUCUUUUUAGCUAAGAAUGGAUUUUUAGUCCUCUGGUACCAUUUCUGUCAUUUGAUCCUCUUACAAAAGGCUUCCUUUUUAUACAUUGCUUUAUUCCUUAGGAAUUUGCAGUUUUAAGCGGUUGAUGACAGGGAAAAAAACGCCGUUAAUUGUUUGCUGGGGUUUGUUAUAAAUGAUGUUUCUGUGAGUUGAUUGGAAUAUAAUCUUCACAUACAUAUUGGUACAGAAUCUGGUUUCCUUUGGUGCUUCAUCCACAGCUGGAAAUCGCUUUGGUCAAAUAAAAAUGGAUAUUUACGGAAUAAACGGUGUAAGAUUUUCCUUUCUUUUUCUUCGCUCAUUUCUAGUUCAUCAGUCUCAGUUGUGUAUUGGGGGAGUUCACGAGCUUGAUCAGUUUACAAAGACCAAGGGCAUGCUAAGGGCAACUUAUUCAUUGUUCACUGCCGCUACAUGUGUAUUGGUAAAUUGGAAUCUUUCUUUGUCUCUGCUCUAACAUGAAAUGGAAUCUAGUUCUUUUCAAUCUUUUAAAUCAUCUUAGGUUCCCUGAUGUGUUUCUGCAUUUGCUGAUAGAUUCGACCGGAAGAGGAUGACACAUGUAACUGAUAAGGUGUUAAGUUUAUGUGUGGUGUUAGUUUAUGAUUUUGUUGGCCUUUUUACCUAUAGCUUGUUCUCCCUACCUUUGUAGACAAGGCCUUCAACUUGAAAGGAAGGAAUUCAUUUGGACGUUGGCCUUUUUACCUGUAGUUUGUUCUCCCUACCUUUAUAGACAAGGCCUUCAACUUGAAAGGAAGGAAUUCAUUUGAACUUUACACGGGUCAGGAAUCUAUGGUAAAGUGGUUUUCAGGAUGGUGGAGCCAAUAUUGUUAAUUUUUUGUUGUGGUUUGUUUUAAUGAUAUAUUUUUAAGAGUUGCUUGGAAUGUGAUUUUCACUUCAUAUUGGUACAGAAUCUGGUUUUCUUUGGUGCUUUUUCAUUCACAGCUGGAAAUCCUUUGGUCAAAUAAUAUUCGAUUCUUAUGUAAGAAAGGGUGUAAAAUUCUUCUCUUUUCUUUGCUCAUUUCUGGUUCAUCAGUUUCAAUGUGUGCGUUGGGGUUGUUUAUGUGGAGUCUGAUCAUUUUAUGAGGUCUGGGCUGUGAAGGGAAACUAUUUUGCAGCUAAAUUCGCAUUGGCGAUUACAUCUGUCUUUGCUCUACAUGAACUGGAAUCUGGGCUUUUUUCAGCUUAGUAUAAAAUGCCUUAGGUUUUUGAUGUUCCUCCAUGUGCAGAUAAGAUUUGACGGGGAGAGGUCUGAGAGGAUGACACAUGAAUCAGGUAAAUAUUAAGGUGUUAGCUUUGUGUGUGUGGGUUUAUGAAUUAGGUAGUUCUCUCUGCAUUUCUGGACCUUCAACUUGAAAGGAAAGAAUUCAUUGGAACUUAUUUCUCGUCAGGGGUCUUCUUGUUGGAUAGAUGAAACAACAUACUAUUUAUAAAGAAAGAUUAAGCUCCCUCGAUACUGUCCAUCUGUUUGAAAUUAUCAAUAGUUGUAGUUAUCAUGAAUUGUCCUCUAUAUUAAAGUCUGGCAUGUACUGCACAGGAAUUUCCAAUAUAGCUUAAUGACAGUUCCUUGGGGUCUUCUUGGAUGUUCAGUUAUAAAGAUAGGUCACCAGUUGAUAACUUCCAUGCUAUGGUACUGAUAUGCACAAAGAAAAAAUUGAUUGACUGCAUGGUAAUUUCCUAUACUGCACAUAAAUCCUUUAUUGUCAUAAUCAGAUGUUGGGCUCUUUGGACUGUUGCUUACGGGUACUGCUAUCGAGCACUAGUGCUUAUCUAAGUGUUGGAUUUUUUAUUUUCUAAAAUAUAGGAUGCAGGAACAUUUCUAAAAAGAGUUCAAAUUUCAUAUACGGAUACGUGAGUAUUUCUUUAAUACUUCAAUUUUUUUUUUACUAAUCUAAAAUGUAAUUUUGAAUAGACCAAAAUAAAUUAUUCACAAAGAAGGAAAUAGAUAUUGAAUUAGAGGUUAAGACGAGUAAAAUAGAAUUUUGAGACGUAGUUUUUAAUCAUGGGAAUUACUAAAUGUUAUAUAAAAUAGAAAAUGAAGAAUUUGAUUGCAAUUUGGACUUAGUGAAGCACUAAUUAGUACUAUAUGAAACUUAUUUUUAUUUUAUACAAACAAAACCCUAAAUCACCAUUACAAAGAGAGAAGGAAAAAAGAAGAAAUUGGAAAGAAAAAAUAAAUAGGAAGAAAAAGAAAGGAAAAGAAGAGUUCGAGCAUUAGAGGCAAUUACUAUAACCGUAUUUUCAACUGGCACGUCGUCUUUAUAUGUAUGCCUUGGUUUUGGUUAAUGUUUCUCUGAUUGGUAUAUAUGACAUUUAAAGGUUUUAAUUAAUUUUUCUUUUUUGUAUAUCUAUCCAAUGGUGUAAAAAAAAGAAUCGAAUAGAAUAGGUCCUUUCUAAAUUUUAUUUAUUUAUUUAUUUAUUUAUUAUUAUUAUUAUUAUUAUUAUUAUUAUUAUUAUUUAUUUAUUUUUAUUUUUUUGGGGAUCUUGAAAGAAGUUUGUUGAUAUUUUUUAUUAAAUCUUUUUGUUCCUUGAUUUUCCAGGGGAAAUAAAUUGUUGUCAUUAGAAAAUUAUUUAUUGAUUUUUUUGUCGUUGAUUAGUUUGUCAUGAACUUAUGGGGAUUUGUUCUAAUAAAGAAUGCAGAUAUAAAAUCCAAGUGUAAUGAUAUCAGAGUGGAUUAUUGAGGUUAUGCACUUCUUUGCGUUACUAAAAAAUUCAGUGCAAUUAGUUAAGCUAAGCUAGAAACACUUGAAUUAUGUCACUUCACUGCUGUCAUGCUCUGAUGUUUUAUUUGAUCUUUCCCUUCAGUGUUUGCUAGAACUGUGCCACCUUUUGCUAGUAAGUUGAAGUUCUUUUGUCUCUACCUUCAUUUAUGUAACUAAGCAUAUCAGAAUGAUGGUUGGAUGUCAAAUGAUCUAAAGGUUGGAUGAAUGAAGUAAAAAUGAAGGCUCCAAAAAAAAAAAAGAAAAGAAAGGGUUGUGCCGUACUUUCAAUUUCAAGAUGAUAGAAUUAGGGGAGGAUUUAUCAGAUUCUGAAUCUCCCCAUUUUCUUGGAAGUUCUGUGGUAAAAUAAAACACCAUGGAGUUUAGAUAAUCUUGAAGAAAUGAACAAGUCUCGGGUGCUUUUGCAGUUAGUUUGGUUGAAUGAUCAAGAUCUAGUAGGUAUCUGAUGUUACAAAUUUGAAGUGCUCCUCAUUUGUCCACAUACCUUUUGCCUUCUGAGGUCAGUGACAUGAUCUUAGACAAAGAUGAAAUGAAGAAUCAUUUGAAGUGCUCCAGUGUUCACAUACCUUUUGCUCAGGUCCUCUACUCUGUAGUGUUUGCUUUUGGAGCCACAUUUCUCUUCUUUCUCCAGUUCAAACAUAAUAAUAUGGAGAAGCUAUGAUAAUUUUGGGGCUGUCCACUUGAUUACAUGUGUUUCAUAUGAAAUACAUGUGGUGUUUCUCUGCUAUUCCACAAUUCCAAGUAUAACCAAGGAGCUCAUAUUUAAGGUAAUGUUGGGACUCCUUUUCAGACAACUGAUAACUAAUCAACUUUCUGUUACCUUGUCAUCUGAUAUAUUAUGGAGUUGAAUUUAGGUUAGGUAUGAACUGUUGGAAGCCACUCUUGAGGGGUAUCCUUGCAGCUGGAGUCCAGCUCUAAGCUGUAUUUUUUCACAGAUGCUGCACACUAAGUGUAGGAGGCUUGAAUCUUAUUUGGGCAUUUGGUAUUUAUUAUUCAGUGGUGCCUGUUGAAUUCAAAAUUUUCUUCUACCUUGUAUGUAGCCUUGAUGGAAUAUUUGUCUGUGUCUCGUUUUUCUUGUGUUGUACCUGAGUGCGCGUCUUAAGCUUUCCGUAUCGAAGAGGAAAGUUGCAAUCAGCUCUGGAAAUAUUAAGUGUCAGAAAUAUACAGAACAUGCACUAUUAGCUUGCUAAUAACAAUCAACACCUAUGACGAUAUGCUCGAUAUGGAUGGUUUUGACUAGCAAGUUCGAAGGAGCUCUCCCCCACUGUAAUCCACACUUUUCCCUGCACAGUCAAUUAUUGUUUGGCGGACGGACCAAAGGAUAUAUAAAUACAAGUUUACUAGGAGGCAUAUUCAGUACGCAAUAUUUUUUCCAUUUAACUAUUACUCUAAAAUUUUGCCUCAUACCCUAUUCAGUCUCUUUGAUUACCCUUUGUUGUUACAAAUUGGUUUUUUAUUCUUUGGAUCAAGUUAGAUUGACAGUGUCAAGUAUGUAGAUGCUUACAUGAUCAUAAAUAAGUCCAUUUCACGCUUGCAUAUUUUGCUCGUAGACAAAACUUCUGUAUAAUCCCACUACUGGCCCAUAAAAUGAGGAAUUGGUGGAGAAAUAUAAAUGAUACUUGGAACUAGAAAGUUCAUUUUACCAGUAUUUCUCAUCUAAUUCACUAUUUUGUGUCUUUCAAUAUUUCGUAACAUCUAUGCACAAUUCUGGUUGUUGGUAAGUCAUAUUUUUAAGGGAACCAAGACAAUAUUAAAAAAAAUGGCAAGAUGUUCUUGGAUUUGCUGCAUACUAUACUGUGUUUUAAAGUUGUUUCAUUGUGUGUGUGUGUUGGUUUUAUGUAGUUGACUCUUUUAACUCUGCCUGUGUUGCAUGUUUGCUCGACACAGCCGGUCCCAAGCCCGGAAAAGGAGGAGGGUUUGAGUCAACAGAUGUGAUCUCAAUGUUUUUUAAUUAUCUCUGCAUUUGUGUUUUUUCUGCCUAUUAUUAGGUUGCCUUUACUCUCAACUCUUUCUGAUUGUCCGCAUCUUUUCUCUGUGUUGCUGGUUAAACUUUUGAAUAUUAAUUACAUCGAGAGUGUUGAAGGCUUUAUUCUUGUAGUUGGGUAGGAGAAUUGAAUGAUCUUUUCUCUGUGUUGCUGGUUCAACUUUUGGAAUAUUAAUUACAUCGAGAGUGUUGAAGGCUUUAUUCUUGUAGUUGGGUAGGAGAAUUGAAUGAUCUGGCGCUAACAUAAUAAUCUUGAUUUCCAUUCCUUGACUCUACUUGUGGAUUUCACCUUAUUUUUGGCAGUUAGAUGUAACUGGUUCUAGAUGAGCUGUGUUCACGGCUGGCCAUUAAACUUUUGCAGUGGAAUCCAAAAUGAACUCUUCUUCAUUUGCCAAGUUGCACGAACCAUUUUAGGUGCGCUGUCUCUUAAGAGUAAGUUCUACUUGCCCUAUUAUUUAUCCCAUAAUCUGUUUCUUGCUUUGAAAUGACUUAUUAUUUUUAAUUUAAACUAUGUGCUCACUGGUAUGGGGAAUGAGAACUUCUAACCAACCAUGUUCAUGAUAUCCACGGAAGUCAAAACUGUAAGAUGCCACAUUGUGAAUAUAUUAAUUUCAAAGGGCGUUAUAUAUUAAAUGGAAAAGUGUUCUUGGUUGUUCUGCAUGUUACACUGUAUUCAAAAGUUGCUUUAUUGUGUCAAUUUAUGUUUUUAUCUAAUAAUAGGCUCUUGUAAUUCCAUCUGUGUCAGUCCAUAUCUAAGAUAAGGUAACAUUUAAGAAAAUAGUAUAGCUCAAGUUACCUAUCUGAGAGAACUCGUGACAGUCCUAUUGACACACCCCUGAUCAUCAUUAAAAUUUAUUAUUGUAACUUGUUAGAUAUUACCUACUAGUAUAGCAGCGAAAUGAAAUAGUCAUUUAACUACAUUAAAUGUAUGUAAGAAAAUGCCCUCGAUCUGUUUAGUUCAGUUCUGUGUGAUGUUUUCUGGAAAUUUUCUUCGACUCACUUUGGCAUACGGUCAUAGAAUUCAUUAAUUUGCUUGUACAGUCCAAAUUUUACUAGAAUCAAUAAUUAUGAUUAACGUGGCAAAGAUUGCAUAAAUAUAUUUUUAAGACUUCACUGCUUUCCCAAAUUUACUAGAAAUGCAGGAGGGAAGUAAUGAUGGUCAAGAAAAGCUAUCAUUCUAUAUUUUCUUGUUUGCAAGUUCCAUAACUGAAAGGUUUCUCAGAGCUGGACCCAGCUGCAACCGCAUUAGACAUUAGAGCUUCUUCAGGUAAUGGGUCCUAGGGAAGUAGAGAUGACAGAAAAGAGACCGCAUCUGAGGAGGCUUAGAAGGGUAUCCAGGGAAGCAGCCUUGAACAAUUGUGCAGAAUACUGGUUUUGUAUAAUUCAAGGAGAAUGGCGUUUUGGUGUGGAAUUGGAAUUUGGUGGGAUAAUUUUGUUCUUUCUUUUGAACUCAAUAAAUGUGUAGGGUAUAGAUCAAAUCUAUAAAUUGAGCAUAGUUGAGAGGAUGAAGAGCUUUAUUCUUCUUUCAUGUAUGAGAUAAUCUUUGGACAUAUCUAUAAAUCUCACUCUCAGAACUCUGGCAUCGUGUGCUUGUACAUUUUGUAGUGCUGGAAUUCUGAAUUUUGUAUCUGCUUUCCACUUCAAUCAGAAUUUGGACAACUGGGUUUUCAGAUUUUAAUAAAAAUUUCUUUCGCAUUAGUUUUUUUAAAGAUGAAGACUUUAAGAC